rnacentral:rRNA from 1 species
AUGGCCGCGGCUACAUCUCACAAUGCCAUAGUGUCUACACAAUCCCACCGGUGGAACGGCAAGAACUCUAGAUUGGACAGGAGAGCAGCCAAUGUGCGUUUGGUUUCAGUUGGAAGUUGCUGCCCAGGCAGCGGAAAGUUGGGUCUGGUUUGUGCAUCGGGCUCAAAGUCUUCGGUCAUCGACCCGGUUCACCUACCCUCGAACGGCAAGGGUGGCCACAGCCCUAAGAAAUCAAGUGAAAGUUCCCUUAUAUUGAUCCGGCACGGCGAGUCGAUGUGGAACGAGAAAAAUCUGUUUACUGGCUGCGUCGAUGUGCCCCUGACACCGAAGGGCGUGGAGGAGGCCAUCGAGGCGGGUAAGAGGAUAUGCAACAUUCCAAUCGAUGUGAUAUUUACGUCGGCGAUGAUCCGUUCUCAGAUGACUGCAAUGCUUGCCAUGAUGCAGCAUCGACGCAAGAAAGUUCCAAUUAUCACACAUAAGGAGAGCGAACAAGCUCAAAGUUGGAGUAAGAUAUACAGUGAAGAUACAAAAGAACAGUCCAUUCCUGUCAUAACAGCUUGGCAACUGAACGAACGGAUGUAUGGUGAGUUGCAAGGUCUCAAUAAGCAAGAAACUGCAGAUCGGUUUGGCAAAGAACAAGUUCAUGAAUGGCGCCGUAGUUACGACACUCCUCCCCCAAAUGGAGAGAGCCUAGAGAUGUGUGCAGACAGAGCCGUUUCUUAUUUCAAAGAUCAGGUUGUUCCCCAUCUCACGGCUGGAAAGCAUGUGAUGGUUGCUGCACAUGCAAAUUCACUUCGAUCAAUUAUAAUGCAUCUGGACAAAUUGACAUCUCAGGAGGUAAUCAGCCUUGAGUUGUCGACAGGCAUUCCUAUGCUCUACAUAUUUAAGGAAGGGGAGUUUAUCAGACGGGGGAGCCCAGUAGGACCUUCUGAAGCAAGUGUUUAUGCUUAUACAAGGAACUUGGCUACGUACAGAGACACGCUUGAUAGUAUGGUUCAGUAA